rnacentral:rRNA from 1 species
UACGAGGGGGGCGAGCGUUGUUCGGAAUUAUUGGGCGUAAAGGGCGCGUAGGCGGUGCGGUAAGUCACCUGUGAAAUCCCCGGGCUUAACCUGGGAACUGCAUUUGUGACUGCACGGCUAGAGUGUGUCAGAGGGGGGUAGAAUUCCACGUGUAGCAGUGAAAUGCGUAGAUAUGUGGAGGAAUACCGAUGGCGAAGGCAGCCCCCUGGGAUAACACUGACGCUCAUGCACGAAAGCGUGGGGAGCAAACAGG